rnacentral:rRNA from 1 species
UACGUAGGGUGCAAGCGUUGUCCGGAAUUAUUGGGCGUAAAGAGCUCGUAGGCGGUUUGUCGCGUCGGCUGUGAAAACUCGGGGCUCAACCCCGAGCCUGCAGUCGAUACGGGCAAACUUGAGUGCGGUAGGGGAGACUGGAAUUCCUGGUGUAGCGGUGAAAUGCGCAGAUAUCAGGAGGAACACCGGCGGCGAAGGCGGCUCACUGGCCCGAUACUGACGCUGAGGCACGAAAGCGUGGGGAGCAAACCGG